rnacentral:rRNA from 1 species
AUGCUCCUCCCUAGCCUCCUCCGCGGCGCCCACCUGCUGCGGCCGUGCCACCCUCCUCGCCGCCACCUCUCCCGCCUCCUAGACCGCUACGGCUUCGUGCCGCCGGCCUCCCUGACCCCCACCGCGAAAGAGAUCUCCCACGGCACAGGCGCCGCCGCCGACCAGAAGCGUCGGACCAAGAAGCCCCCCUACCGGCCGCCCUCUUCGCUGGACCGCGGAGACCGCCCGGCCUCCCACUCCGACCUCCCCUUCGAUUUCCGCUUCAGCUACACGGAGAGCUCCCCGGACGCCAAGCCCAUCGGGCUCCGCGAGCCCAAGUACUCCCCUUUCGGCCCCGGUCGCCUCGACCGCCCCUGGACCGGCCUCUGCGCGCCCGCCGUCGACACCACGCUCCGGAGCGUCGACGCCGAGGACCCCGCCCCCGCCGCCGAGAAGGACCUGGAGGAGGCCCGGCGGCGCGAGCGAGAGCGCGUGCUCGGCGAGCCGCUCACCCCCGCGGAGCGCUCCUUCUUGGUCGACAAAUGCCAGAAGAACCGCACCAAGCGGCAGAUCAAUCUCGGGAGAGAUGGGCUCACUCAUAACAUGCUGAAUGACAUUCACAACCACUGGAAGCAUGGCGAGGGGGUCAGGGUGAAAUGCCUUGGUGUGCCGACGGUUGAUAUGCAAAAUGUGUGCCGUGAGCUCGAGGAUAAAACUGGUGGCCUUAUCAUCCACAGGCAUGGUGGCCAGUUAAUACUAUACAGAGGGAGGCAUUAUCAUCCAAAGAAAAGACCUGUUAUUCCGUUGAUGUUAUGGAAGCCAGCUGAACCGAUCUACCCAAGGCUAAUUAAAACAACAAUAGAAGGGCUGACAGUUCAGGAGACAAAGGAAAUGAGGAAGAAGGGCCUACAUGCUCCUGUCUUGACAAAGCUUGCAAAGAACGGGUAUUAUGCUAGUCUCGUGUCGAUGGUUCGAGAUGGUUUUCUGGCCGAUGAAUUGGUUCGUAUAGAUUGUAAAGGAUUGCCAAAGAGUGAUUAUCGGAAGAUUGGAGUCAAGCUCAGGGACCUUGUUCCUUGUAUUCUUGUGUCUUUUGACAAGGAGCAAAUUAUUGUUUGGAGGGGGAAAGACCAUGAUGAAAGCAUACAGGAUAAUAUGCACAAGGCAUUCCCUUCAGUUCUUCAAUUAGAGAGUGCAGCAGGAGAGAAUGAACAGGAAGAAGCAUCAAGUGAGAGUGUAGCAGGAGAGAAUGAACAUGGUGAAAAAGAAGAAACAUCAGUUGACUGUUCUUCUGAUGAGUGGUCUGAGAUCAGUAGCUCUGACGAUGUGCCAGAUGAUAAGUAG